CACACGCAAAAUGGAUAUUGUAAAAGUUUUAAGGAAAUUUCGGGAAGAAGAAGAUCCUGAAAUGGAGGAGUAUGAAGGGAAGUGUUUGCCAACAUUCAGCAAACUAGAACUGUUCGACAUCGCAAAUUCAAAAGGUGUCAAACUGGAGGAAAUUAUGCUGUUGGGUGGAAUCCAGGAUUCCAGGGAAAACAUUUGCAAACUGGUGCAUUUUGCACUACAGUGUGGUGACAUGAUUCAGGAGGGAAAAGAUGAUGAGGAGGCUGGGCCAUCUACACGUCCGGAGCCACCUAAAAAAAAAGAAAAAGGCAAAUGAUACAACUGGGGUAAGAACAGUUUAAUCAGUAAAAAAAAGUUUUCUUGCUAAACAAGAGGAAUUUUGUUAUGGUAUUAGAAGUUAAAUGCUCAUAUUUCAUUUGAUCCGGGCAUUAAACAGAAUCGUGUAUUUGGUUAAAGUGUAUGCGAAAAGAGUCUCGUGUUAUAAAUGGUUUUGGUUAACGUAAAUUAAUUUUGGCGUUAUUUACCUUAAGUACACAUUCAAAAUUGAAUGAGGUUAUUUAAAUGAAAUUUUUUAGGUGAAUAGAAGAAUAUAUUAUUUAUAGAUUUGUUCAGUGCUGUAAAUAAUUAUUACGUUCAGAUCUAUGGGAUAAAUGACAAUGCGGUUACAUUAGAAAAAAUGUAUUAAUAUAUUAAAAGGCUUAGAUUAUUAACGAUCAAAUUAGCACAUCACCGGGAAAUGAUUUAAAGAAUUUCUUACAAAGAUUAAAAGUGUAUAUUACUAUUCAUAAGGAAAGACAUAUUAUUAAUGAUUCAAGAGAAAAAGGAAGGAAAAAAUGCAUGAGAUAAUUAUAAAUCGUCUGUGGUUAAAAGAAGAAUUACAGGUAUAGAUGUGGUUAUCCAGGGAAAACGGUUUGUUAAUAAAGAAGGGAAAAUAUAUAUGAAAUGAGUAAAAUUAGUUUUAGUUUUGUUAAAAGGUUGCAAUUAAGAAAGAAAGAAAAAAAAAAGGAGAGAGAAAAAAAAAAAAAAAAAAAAAAAAAAAAAAAAAAAAAAAAAAAAAAAAAAAAAGGGUUAACUGUCAGCAAUUUAGAAAGAAAGAAAAAAAAAAUGGUUUAGAAAAGUAUGGUAAAUAGAAGGGUGUGAAAAGAAAUUUUAACGUUUAUCGAAAGAAAUAUGAAGAUAGACAAAGUUGGUUAAUGUUUAAAAUUUAAGUUUGUUUAAUUGUUAGUUUUUCAUGCAAUUUGAAAGAGAGAAGAAAAUGAAAUGUUUUAAUCUUUGUUCAUUGUUGAAAACAGUACGGUGGUAUAUAGAUGAUAAUUUCUUCGUUAUUUGGUCUUGUGAAGAGUUGUCUCAUUAGCAAUUAUACCACAUAUGUAUAAACGAGUAUGAAAUAAUCCAAUUUGUAAAAAGAAAAGAUACGCUAGAGAAAGGUCUGUCGUAAUAUGUGAGACUUAUUUAGGAAUGAGAUCAUAAGACAUAAAUGUAAAAUUUUAAUGAAUAUUAUAGUAAGAGGAAGAAGAUGUUGUGGAAGAACUAUACGGAAUAAGUUUUGUUAAAUUCGUUGAAAAAUAAGGCUCACAGGGGAGUAUUACUUGCAAUUAAAGGGUCAUUUGUAGGAAAAUGGAAAUAAAAGAAGAUGAAGAGGAUAUAUUAAAAGUUAUAAUACUUUUGAAUGAAAGAAAGAAAUAAAGUUAAAAGAAUAAGAGGUACGAAAUGGGUCGUUAGUAAAUAGAAAUCAGUUAGUAGGUUUUUAUAAAAAAAAAAAAAAAAAAAAGAAGAAAAAAAGAAAAAAAAAAAAAAAAAGUUUCUUAAAUUAGUCUUGUAGUAUGCAUACCUCCAUUUGAGAUACAGUAACCAGCGUAAGAUUUAAUUGUGGUCACAUAAGUUUUACUCCCAAAUAAAAAAAAAAAAAAAAAAAAAA